AAAAUCAAAAAGAAAAGAGAGAGAGAGAGCCUUGGAUGUGUUCUGUUCUACAAAUUUGCAUCGGAUUUCCUAGUCGUUAGAGUGAAUUAGCUGGUUGUGCUGUAACAAGACUUAAUUUAACUAAUAAGAAUCAGCACACUGGCUUCACUUGACAAUUGUAACCUCUGAAAGUGAUCAAUUAAGACAUCACAAUCUGUUUCAUGACAACAUAUCGGGAUGCCGCAGCUGUGCAGAUUAUGAGGUCAGCAGCUGACUAACAACUUGAGGGCAAACAUUGGCAACAAGAGCCUCUUGUUUAUGUAACAAAUAUGUAAUUGGGCAGAAUGCUAGGAAUGUAAUGGCUUGGGGGGAUAGGUUGUGAUCUUUAAACUGUCCCUUUCUUUUAUAUAUUGUCACCAUAGCCAGAGUCGUAAAAGCCUUCCACAUACGUAUCCUGCUUGGCCACUGUCCUGCCUAGCUGCCUGACCUCCUAAAUGAGGUAGCAGGUGAUGUGGCUACACAUGGUGACCACUCUAUUUGCCACUUGGCUGCAGGGACCAUUUUACAGUAUGCUGGGAGAGCAGGGCUAGAUGAAUGAAACAUUCCUAAUCAUAAUCAGAAGCUGCAGGUAACACCAAGAGCUUGCUAAGGCCCAAGGGACUCAUUUAUACCUUUGAAGACACUUCAAACUACGGAAUGAUUAAGCAAGCUGUUUUCAUCUACAUCAAGUCACUUUCAGCAGACCUCUAACUGUGAGCAAAGAAUUGUGAAGACUGUUCUAGAGAGAAAUCAACACAGUUCAACCAAGCCAGCUUGCUGAAGGAUGCUUUGAGAAGAAGGGGUUGGUGGAGAUGGAGCAAUGGCAAAUAUCAGCGAAGGGCCCAUGAAUGGAGUGAGAACCCAGGGAACAUAGGAGUCAAUAAUUUAAGAAUAUAGUUUAACGGCUAUCCUUUGAAAAGAUAGGGACACCUCUUCCUCUGAGACAGGAAAAAAGAAUUAAGAAUGAGAGGAGAAAAGACAACCUUACAAGACAUGACUGCAAUUAGAGUUCACUCAGGAUUCCCUUGCAUUUCUAAAAAGCAAGUUUACUGACAGGCUAUGAAAAGAAUGGGUGUCCUUGCCUUUCCUGAAAAGAAGGAAAUGUAAACUGUGCACAAGUCCUGGCUGGGUGCAGCAGCUGAGACACGGUCCUCGUCACAGCCCCCCACCUCACGCUUGGGCUCCCGUCUGUAGCUGCGUAUCUAAAGCAUAGGGCCUAAUUAAGCUGAUGAAUUAUGUAUGGAUAUAUUAUUGAAUAUAUACCAGCCUGGCCAUAAAAAUAAAUAAAUAACCUUUCUGUUUCCCAGAAUUUCAUUUGCGACGUGGAGAAGUGAGAGGGAGCUGUGAAAAGCCAAAUAAUUUUUCUAGUUCUAAUUGUUAUGAAAAUGAUAUGCCUCUGUGUGUGUGUGUGUGUGUGUGUGUGUAACUGCUAUCAACAAAUACUAAUUUUCAGCAAAGAAUAGGUAACACUUCACAAAAAUAGGACUUGUUCCAACUGAAUAUUUGUUUCUUGUGAGAGGAGACAGGCAGUUUGCUAUACCAUGGCCAUAUCAUUUCUCUAUCUUUCCAGUGCUGGAAGCAUACAUUUGCCCAUAAACCAGAUUUUCCAAUACAGAUUAAAUAAUGAAGACAUGAUGGGGUACCGGGGUGGCUCAGUCAGUUGAGCAUCCAACUCUUGAUCUCAGCGCAGGUCAUGAUCUCGUGGUUUGUGGGUUUGAGCCCCACAUGGGGUUCUGCACUGACUGUGC